rnacentral:rRNA from 1 species
UGAAGCGGCCAUACCCGGCUGGAUACAUCCAGCUCCAUUCCGAACCUGGAAAUUAAGCAGUCGCGGGCUACAUCAGUACUGGGCUAG